rnacentral:pre_miRNA from 1 species
CCUUUACUUUAACAUGGAGCCACUUGCUGUGAUUUUGUAAAAAUAAGUGCUUCCAUGUUUGAGUGUGG